GCCGGUGUGGCGAAAUGGCAGACGCAACGGACUUAAAAUCCGUUGGAGAGCAAUCUCCGUGUGGGUUCGAGUCCCACCAUCGGUA
rnacentral:tRNA from 1 species